GUCAGUCACCAACAGCAGUUCUUUUUCAGAACUACUCUCACCCGGACGAUCACAAUAUACGAACUACAAGAGCCUUGACCUUUACAAUUAUCAGGAUAUUGCACAGUAAAGUUUUGAGAACACAUACUAGUCUCUGGUGAUAGAGAUCCACUGCCUAGCCUUUCUGCUUCCUAUAUGUAGUGGUUAAGUAGUGUCACAGCAGAGUUGGAAAACCUUAUGAGUGUUUCACAAUCAUUUAAUCAAAAAUGAGAAAGGAGUAACCCUUACUUGUCAAUAAUUGACUCAUUUGAUUUUUUUUUCGGCUUUAAAAACAGGCAAAGUUUGAUGCAAGGAAGGCCAAAGAGAAAGUCACAAACGUAGAUGGAGAAAAUGAACAUCUGGGGCAAGAAAGAGUCAGAUUAAAGGUGGAAAAUGAGGAACUUCAACUGGCCCAAGUGGCAGGGUCUCCAAUGCGUCAACUGUCCCCUGGUACCCCUUCUGGUGAUGAUUUUGAUCUCGGUAGUUCCAUGUCUUCAGAAGUGAAG